CCUACGGGUGGCAGCAGUCGGGAAUAUUGCGCAAUGGACGCAACUCUGACGCAGUGACGCCGCGUAUAGGAAGAAGGCUUUCGGAUUGUAAACUAUUGUUGUUAGGGAAGAUACAAGACUCUAUCUAAGGAGGAUGCCCCGGCUAACUAUGUGCCAGCAGCUGCGGUAAUACAUAGGGGGGAAGCGUUAUCCGGAUUUAUUGGGUGUAAAGGGUGCGUAGAGGGAAGAACAAGUUGGUUGUGAAAUCCCUCGGCUCAACUGAGGAACUGCAACGGAAACUGUUCGCCUUGAGUGUCGGAGAGGAAAGUGGAAUUCCUGGUGUAGCGGUGAAAUGCGUAGAUAUUAGGAGGAACACCAGUGGCGAAGGCGGAUUUCUGGACAGUAACUGACGUUGAGGCGCGAAAGUGUGGGGAGCAAACAGGAUUAGAUACCCCUGUAGUC
rnacentral:rRNA from 1 species